rnacentral:SRP_RNA from 1 species
GCCGGGUGUGGUGGUGCACACCUGUAGUCCCAGCUACUUGGGAGGCUGAGGCAGGAGAAUUGUUUGAACCCAGGAGGCAUAGGUUGCAGUGAGCUGAGAUCACACCACUGCACUCCAGCCUGGGUGACAAGAGCGAAACUCUGUCUCAA